rnacentral:lncRNA from 1 species
GCGGAGGCUGCAGAAGAGGCCAGGCGAGCGCGUGCUGCUUCUGCAUAUGCGGCAAAGCCAGGUGUGCUCCACAGACCCUCGCCACAUAGUUGAUAUCUACCGGCCAUCUCGCAUGAGACUUCAUGCUGCCAUGAACUUGCCAUGGCUGUGUCAUUGGUGGACAGGGAGCAAUUCAAUUCAAUUUUAUAUUCGAAUUUGGUUUGAAAUUCGAAUUCGCACCUCUGCAGGCCGGCAGUCUAUCUCCAUCAGUGCUACCUGCAUAUCCAGCCAGCCACUGGCGCCGCCGGCCCCGAUUUCCGUAUCCCUCGCUAGGCCGGGACCUCCUGCAAAGCCGCAGCAGCAGCAGCAGCAGCAGCAGCAGCAGCAGCAGCAGAUACCGCGGCUGGCGCGCAUGUCAUCUGGGGGCACUAAGGACAUGUCCCUGGACGGCGGCUGUGCCUCAGAGGAUUCCUGCGGCCCCUGCCCUUCCACCACCAACAGCACAGCCACCUCUGGCAGGUGCGACUCCUUCUCUCUGAAAUGAAGAGAGACUGUCCAUAUCAACUGGCACUUUGACAGCACUGCAAGGAACAUCAUCAUCUGGGCACUGCGAUUCUGCUAUUGACACUCCUGCCAUUCAUACACUCCACUUUUGGGGCUAGCAAGCUGUUUGGUAUUCCGCUAUGAUUAGCGAAAGACAUGCUGAAAGAUUGCAAGGAGUCUUAUGACCGGCUAGGCGGUGUGCAUUGGUGUAACAUUGUAUGCCAAAGGCGGCCUCUGCAUGCGGGGGACGGUCUUGAUAUCAGUUUGUGGGUUUCGCUAGUGUUCCUGGCAGACCUCCUCAGCUCUGCGACUGAUGCUAUGGCAUGCAUGCGCAGGAUCAGCAAU